ACGCUCGACACCUACGGGCAGCAGUGGGGAAUAUUGCACAAUGGGGGAAACCCUGAUGCAGCGACGCCGCGUGGAGGAAGAAGGUCUUCGGAUUGUAAACUCCUGUUGUUGGGGAAAAAGAGGAUGGUACCCAACAAGGAAGUGACGGCUAACUACGUGCCANNCGCGUAAGCGUANGNGGCGNGGCAGGCAG
rnacentral:rRNA from 1 species